GAAGCAUGAAAUUCAGUCAUAUUCCAGGUGCAGAACGGGUAAUCAAAGUCAUCUCCUGUCCGGGAAUAAGUUUUGAGCUAUUUCUUGAACAGUGUUUUCAGGUUGUAAGGCUUGACGAUUUUAGGACUCCCAUCCCACAUUAGCUUUGCAAAUUGAUAGUUGGCCUUUUCGGUUGGAUGAAUUCCAUCAAAGAAGAAAUAUUCGCUAACGUUAUCGCACAGUUGGUAUACUUUCUGGCCGCAAGUAAUGGAAGCUCUCAAUGGACCACUGCCACAGCAUGCCAUUUUCACCUCUUCGAAACCUUCACACAAAAAUGUUAAAAUGGAAUCAGAUAGUCCUCACAUCAUAUCAGCAGAUAAAGGAAACUCUGUAAGCUAGAGGCUUCACCAUAUUUUGAAGGGUUAUUGAAAAUAGCAGUUC